AAUUUGCAAAGCCCGAGGAUUUCGCCCGGUCGGAUUCAAAUAUGGACCAUCCCGGAGUGCGAGUGCACCCAACUAUGGCGGCGGAAGAAAUGAAGAGAGAAAAGAACAAUAAAAUAAAAGAGAGAGAGAGAGAAAAGACGGUGCAAAUUAAAUUACACGCACUAAAAAGGCAAGGAAAAGAAAAGAACCGCUAAAAAAAAAUGAGCGAGCACUGAGCAGAGAAGAAGACGAGCUAAGCGUCAAAAGAAGAUUAGUAGUGGCAGUAGUAUCAUUUAAGGAAAUAACAGUGACCUUUUCUGGUCCGUAUGUCUCCUUUUUCCCUCUUUUAUCUGAUGUCGAGUCCAAAGCACCGACACAGUCUCCGACUUUCGCCAGGUCGCCGACCGAUGCCGAUUCCUCUUUAGUUGAUGGCGUCUUGACUCGUUUCAUCCGGUAAAUUUGUAGAGCCAACUUAUCCUGGAGGUUAAAAAAAUUGGAAUUGUUUGCACUGGGCUUUGGGCAGAGGUGAAGGGUUGUAAUGGCUGAAGGGGAGGAGCAAGUUGAACUUAAGUUCAGAAUCUAUGACGGGACAGAUAUAGGACAUGGAACCUAUAUAUCAUCAACAGCUAUUUCUGUGCUCAAACAAAGGCUUGUUCAUCAGUGGCCUCAAGAUAAAUCUAUCGCACCCAAGUCAGCUGGUGAUAUCAAACUAAUACAUGCUGGAAAGAUUUUGGACGAUGGAAGGACACUUGCUGAGUCAAGAAUACCCAUUGGUGAUGUCUCUGGUGGAGUUAUUACAAUGCAUGUCGUGGUGCAACCCCCUAAUAGUGGAAAGAAGACAGCUUCCUGGUGUGGUUCUAGCGUGCCUGGGCUGUGGAGGGAUGUUUGCAGAUUACAAAAUGAAAUUUUUACGGCAACCGAAGAAAUUAACCAGGAAUGAUACAUAAUUGUAAUAUGACUGUCCCACCUUUAUAUCGUUGCCAUACGUUGUGCAUUUUCUUGUUUGUCAAAGUCAAGAAAAGAACCCAAGUGAGACACAAAGAUGCUUGUGCGCCAUCCUUUAAAGUCAAACAGUCUGCUUCGAGGCCGAAUGCUGAGAGGAAUUCCCUGUACAUUUUCACCUUCCUACCUUCUGUAGCGCAACGUAAAAUCUCCAUAGGAUUUCUUUUCAGAAACAGGAGUACAACAGACGAAAACUUAUUAUUGGCAUACAUGAAUUGGAAAUCAACCCUUUUAAGCUUUGCAAGUGUUUUUGUCGUUGUGUUCAUUCUUCAGAAAGGGAAAUGACCGCUACGCAUCACCUGGUAUAUGAUGGGAAAAUGUUGGGUACACGAGGUGAUACGUGUGUAUAUGCAACUCCUGGUAAGAAAUGGACGACUAGGUAAUAUAGUACCAUUCC